rnacentral:lncRNA from 1 species
GGCACGCCGUGGCACGUUUAAUAGCCGGGCCGUGCCGUGCCGGCCCACGGGCGCUGCUCCUUCGCCCAGGCACGGCCUGAUUAGUAAACGGGCCGGCCCAAUGGCCCGUUUAGCACGCUGGGCUGCACAAAACUUGAGUAAGUAUCAAGUCAAAUACAUUUGGAAAAAACAGGAUGCUACUCCACUGAACUAUACACAUAUCAGCCAGGAUUCAGCCUGCAUUUCGCCUCAUGAGAUCAGCUUGUGUGUUGCCUUGUGUACAGUGCAGAAGAGAUCAGUUUCUUACGAAUUUCUAUAUUUGUCAGGCACAGUUGCGAAGAAAGCCAUAUAUUUCUCAUUUCAAUGGUGAGUAAUUUUCUUUUUGUACCUACAAUGGCAGAAAGUAUUCCGUAAGUAUCCCAAGUAUAUAUAUAACAAAAUGAGUACACGAGGAGAGAAGUGUAUAAUCAAAGGGAGCACAUAACAAAUGAGAAUCAUCUUCUUCAUGCUGUUUUCCACAUAUGGAGUUCAUGAGCAGGAAUACAAAACGGGCUGAUUUUCACUGAACUUGUGUAGAAUCACGUAUUUUGAAAUGGCAAUAAGACAUGGGCCACUACUUGAAACUGUAACCAAUAUUCUUCAGACACCAUACUGAGUUCUUUAGCAACCAUAUGGAGUUCAAACAGACAGAAUAUUGCCUAUCUAUUUCAGGGAUUGCCUAUAUUCUUCAGCAAACCAUACAGAGUUGAAACAGACAGAAUAUUACCUAUCUAGUUCAGGGAUUGCAUAUUUUCUAUCUAGUUCAACCAUAAGAUUUCCUUGACUGUACUGCCGACCCUUGGUAACAUAAAUAUAACAGUAGUGAUCCGUGAUGAAAAACAGACAAUGUCGAUGGUUAACCAAUUAAUAAACCCCUUCACAGUUCAAAGACCACGUUCCCUUAGGACCAAAUAGAGAAUAGGAAAUUUAUUCAAAACCAAUUCUGCAGUACUAAUACGUCAUGGAGAACAGCUAUUGUCAAUAUGUCAACAAUUAAAUCAAUUCACAUGUGUUUUCACCCAGAGAAUCCAAGACAGGAGCAACUAGUCAAGCAGCAUGCACCAACGGAGUAGUUAGAUUAGGAUUGAGAAAUAUUAGUUACUUAUCCGGAAGCUGUCCGCCUUUUGAUGGCUUUUCCGUUCAAAUAAAGAUGGCUCUUGCUAGCCACUGUGUUUUCACCCUCACGCUAUAUCUCAAAUCUUCUCAUUUUCAGUGGACUUCAACCAGGCAAAAGCGAUCUUUCACAGGAUUAUUACAUAAGUAAAUUUUGAUAUCCUAAGCAGAGAAAUACAUAGGUAGGUGGUCACUUAUCACAAGACGAAGUUAAAUUUUUUUGGAAUCAAGAGUAUGUUUCGAUUCAGUUCACCAGCAGUAAGUAUGAGAUUAUUGGUCAACUAUACUUGCAACUAAAGUGGCUCCUAAUUUGCAAUUCUAACUAUUGACCAACUACAACACGUGAGCACAUGCACAGCUAUAUUUGAGUUCCUUGCAGAUUGCAAAAGAAAACACAGACAAGCAAAUAUAACUGGGUCUUUACUCACAUUGAUUAUUAAAGAACCAAUACCGUGCACUAUAGAGAAAUCAAAUUGGAACCUGGUCGCAGCAUCAAUGAUUUAGGCUCUAAACAAAUUUGGCAGGCAACAAGUGGAAGUGUAAUUGCUCAGGUAAAGGCUAAACAUGUUGCACCGCCACUCUUCCUCAGUCAUCAAUAAUUCCUGGUUGAGCUCCUGCCAAUAGCUAGUAGUGAUCAACAAGCCAAGAGAAGCAAAUCAGCAAGCUUAAACAUGUUUGAUUAUAUCCAUUUUCUCGCAGUGCAUACAUCACCUAAAUUUAACAACUAAUGCUAAAGAACAUAGCAUAUCUUUAUGCUACUGACCUCCACAAAUGUGUGGUUCUACAUACCAAUAAAACAGCAAGCAAGGGAAAAUUAGUCUACUACUUCAAGAUUUCAGCAGCAAAUAGGUAAGCAAUCAGCAGCAAUUUUUCGAUAAAAGGGUAUGGCUCUUCACAAACACAGCGAAAUCUAAAUUUGCUGCACUUUGCUGCACUUGCAAUGAAAAAUACAGAGGGAAACAGGGGGAAUAAUCAUACUUUUGUUGUUGUGAAGGUAGUAGGUCGCACGGGAGGCAGGCAAGCCAGUCCCGGGCAGG